rnacentral:rRNA from 1 species
UACAGAGACUGCAAGCGUUAUUCGGAUUCACUGGGCGUAAAGGGUGCGCAGGCGGUUGUGUGUGUCAGGUGUGAAAGCCCCGGGCUUAACCUGGGAAUGGCCGUCGAAACUGGCGAACUGGAGUGUGGCAGAGGGGGGUGGAAUUCCGCGUGUAGCAGUGAAAUGCGUAGAGAUGCGGAGGAACACCGAUGGCGAAGGCAGCCCCCUGGGCUGACACUGACGCUCAGGCACGAAAGCGUGGGGAGCAAACAGG